GUGGGGAAUAUUGGGCAAUGGAUGCAAGUCUGACCCAGCCAUCCCGCGUGCCGGAAGAAGGCCCUCAGGGUUGUAAACGGCUUUUGACGGUGAAGAAUCGAUAGGAUGCGUCCUGUUUUGACGGUAGCCGUUGAAUAAGCACAGGCUAACUCCGUGCCAGCAGCCGCGGUAAUACGGCGGGUGCGAGCGUUGUCCGGAUUUAUUGGGUUUAAAGGGUGCGUAGGCUGGAAGGUCAGUCAGCGGUGAAAAGCUGUCGCUUAACGAUAGUCUUGCCGCAGAUACUUCCUUUCUUGGAUGAGGAGGAGGCCACUGGAACGGAUGGUGUAGCGGUGAAAUGCAUAGAUAUCAUCCAGAACACCGAUUGCGAAGGCAGGUGGCUGUACCUUAAUCGACGCUGAUGCACGAAAGCAUGGGGAGCAAACAGGAUUAGAAACCCUGGUAGUCC
rnacentral:rRNA from 1 species